ACCGCCGUCACACCAUGGGAGUUUGUUGCACCAGAAGCAGGUAGCCUAACCUUCGGGAGGGCGCUUGCCACGGUGUGGCCGAUGACUGGGGUG
rnacentral:rRNA from 1 species